UUGUGAGGUUAAGCGACUAAGCGUACACGGUGGAUGCCCUGGCAGUCAGAGGCGAUGAAGGACGUGCUAAUCUGCGAUAAGCGUCGGUGAGGUGAUAUGAACCGUUAUAACCGGCGAUUUCCGAAUGGGGAAACCCAGUGUGUUUCGACACACUAUCAUUAACUGAAUCCAUAGGUUAAUGAGGCGAACCGGGGGAACUGAAACAUCUAAGUACCCCGAGGAAAAGAAAUCAACCGAGAUUCCCCCAGUAGCGGCGAGCGAACGGGGAGGAGCCCAGAGCCUGAAUCAGUGUGUGUGUUAGUGGAAGCGUCUGGAAAGGCGCGCG
rnacentral:rRNA from 1 species